UUUAGGAAUUUAAAUUAUUAAAAGCGCGCCUAAAGAGACUAACGCAUUAUUAUCUUUUGGGAAGACCAUGAAAUUCGCUAAAUGGUCCAUCCCGAACUCUAAGUAUUUAUAAACAUUUACCGAGGACCCCGCAAUUUAUGAGUUUUCUUUGGCGAGGCUCAUCUCGUUUAUUUUAAAAGGGUGUCUAAACUAAAAAAACUCGGAGGGCCACAGACUAUUUUUAUCUAACUAUGGCUCACCUCAAUUGUUUUGAAUUCAGGGCCCAAGAGCAAUUAAGAAGCCAACAGAAUAUUAUUGUUGAUUGAAACUACAAAAAACGAAGCAAAUUAGGACCAGGCCCAGCGUGGUUGGCUCAACACCAGAGCAGCUAGAUCGAGUCCAAGCAGCAAUAGAGGGCCUUAAUUAUUUUCGGAUUCUUCAAACUUGACUUUAACCCAUCACAUAAUAAAGCCUGUAAUUAUGGGUUACAAAAAUGUUACGGGGUUCGAUUAGAACUACUCCUACUGGAAAAUUAAACUUUUAGAGAAGUUAACCAAUUGGAUAGUCACUUUCAGAAUUAGAACACAACGUCAAGGCUACUAAAAUGAAACUGCAGACCAUAAUUCGAUUAAAUAUCAUCUGGAAAAGGAAAUCAGGUUUUUCUCCCCAUUUAAAAUGCAGAAAUUCCCACAGUUGACUCCAUCAAUACAUAUGAUAUGUCGAGAUAAUCUUUAAAUUCUAAUUCCUUUUAACCAAGUAUCCUAAAACCUACAGACGUAACGAGAGAAAACAAUGAAAAAUUGACUGCUAAGCUUCAUUAUAUUAUACUAUACUAUACUAGUGACACAAAUUAAACCAAAUCAAAAGUUACCAACUACCAAAUUCUCAUACAAACUGAAUUAGAUCGAGAGUCAAUAAGAGUCCAUGUGUAUGCCUAUUAUCCAUACAGCAUAAAACAAAUAAUUAACAUCAACUACAACCUAUCAAAUUAAACAACAAACAAUCUACAAAUGAACAUAAGUCUGUGAACACUUUUAUUUUUGUUUUUCAACUUCAAUGAACUACAUCAUGGCAUUUUGAAGAAGUGUACCUGGAAACAAUGGAAAUAGAGAAGAAGGAAUCAACCAAGGUGAUAACUAAGCAACAACAACGUUAAAUGAUAUUCAACAGGGUUGAAUAACAAGCCGCGAAGGAUCAAACAGCCCAAGUAUAUAUUCAGAAAUCCAGGAACAUUUAAAACCAAGUAGAAACUAUCAAAUCGACUCAAUACCAGCCUGAAUAACCCAUAAUCACUUGAAAAUCAACCAGUAAACAUCUGAAGUUUGAGCAUCCAAGUAUUGAACUAGAAAAAUGAGAAUUCAUUAACUACAAUUUGAAAUUAUCCUAAUGUAUCUCAUGGAACAGUACUAUUUUGUGUAUUUGAAGUUUUUCUUUUUUUUUUUUUUUUUUUGUUUUUGAAUUUUGAAUUUCGAGAUUAAGAUCUGGAAGUUGAGAGACUGUCUUUGGGGGGAAUAUUGGGGAUCAAAAACUUGUUGGUAAAGGCAAUGGAAAUGCCAUUUUAUAUGCACGAAGAGGA
rnacentral:lncRNA from 1 species